CCCUUAGAUGUUCUGGGCCGCACGCGUGCUACACUGAGUGGAUCAGCGGGUCAGGUUGCGCGAAAGUGUUUCCUAAUCUUGAAAUCCGCUCGUGAUGGGGAUUGACGGUUGCAAUUUUCCGUCAUGAACGAGGAAUACCUUGUAAGCGCGGGUCAUCAUCCCGCGCUGAAUACGUCCCUGCCCUUUGUACACACCGCCCGUCGCUCCUACCGAUUGGGUGAUCCGGUGAAUGAUUCGGACUGACGUUGUACUAGCUACUAGUUCAAUGUUAGGAAGUUUUGUGAACCUAAUCACUUGGAGGAAGGAGAAGUCGUAACA
rnacentral:rRNA from 1 species